rnacentral:RNase_P_RNA from 1 species
ACGUUCGGGUAAUCGCUGCAGAUCUUGAAUCUGUAGAGGAAAGUCCAUGCUCGCACGGUGCUGAGAUGCCCGUAGUGUUCGUGCCUAGCGAAGUCAUAAGCUAGGGCAGCCUUGAUAGGCUGACGGCAGGAAAAAAGCCUACGUCCUUUGGAUAUGGCUGAGUAUCCUUGAAAGUGCCACAGUGACGAAGUCUCACUAGAAAUGGUGAGAGUGGAACGCGGUAAACCCCUCGAGCGAGAAACCCAAAUGUUGGUAGGGGAACCUUCUUGACGGAAUUCAACGGAGAGAAGGACAGAAUGCUUUCUGUAGAUAGAUGAC